rnacentral:ncRNA from 1 species
UAAAAAUGAACUUAAUAGCAGAUUGUGUAAGGGAAUGUGGUCAAAUGCCGCAACAGCCCCCGCUACUGUAGGCACGGACAAUUGAUACAAUGCCACUUGAUAGUUAUCAGGGAAGGGUAUCAGGAGAAAGAAGUGCGAGUCAGGAUAUCUUAUACGAUUGUAGGUA